rnacentral:misc_RNA from 1 species
AGAAGUCGGUAUUCUAACCGCAAGGAGAAAGCCGCCCAAGGUAGGAUUGAUGAUUAGGGUGAAGUCGUAACAAGGUAUCCGUACGAGAACGUGCGGAUGGAUCACCUCCUUUCUAUGGAGUUAAUACUUUAUAGUAAUUAACUAGUUUUAAUGACCGUUAUGUUUAGUUUUCAGAGAUUAGUUUCUCUGACAAUAACAAGUAAAUGUUAUUGGAAUUGUUCUUUGAAAACUGGAUAAUAGACAUCUAGUUAUUUUAAUCACUUGAUUAAAAUAACAAUAAUUCAAAAUUUCUGUUAUUUUUAAAAAAUAACUAAAAUUUCACAGUUAUAUUUGUAAAUAAUUCUCAAAAAACUGAUUUAAAAUCAGGUCAAAUAAUUUAUAAAACUUUGAAGUUACAAAGGG